CAGUAGUACUUCACCAAUUUGAUAAGAGCAGAGCCAACAAAAGAUAACUAAUCAACAGGGUCUUGUGGCUCUAGCUUCGAAAUUUCUGUAAAAAGCCAUUGCUGUAGCACCUUCACUUCCCAUUCUUCUGAAUUCUCUUCUUCCAAAAUCUGACGAUGUCAUCUAUCUCACCGUCGGGACUCUCCCUCCGCCGCUCCUCCGCCGCUUUCCACCACCAGCUGCCUUGCUUACUCUUAUCUCCCUCAUGCCGGAAAGUUACUACUUUCGCUAAAUGUUUCCUCUCCCUACGCCUUUGGAAUUCGCGCAAGCAUUUCUCCGUGACCGCCAGCAACACUUUGACGGCCAAUUCUGUAGAGCCAAGAAAUGGUGUAUAUACAGUAGGUGAUUUCAUGACAAGAAAAGAUGAUCUACAUGUGGUAAAACCAUCAACAUCUGUAGAUGAAGCCUUGGAAAUUUUGGUAGAACGCAGAAUCACUGGUUUCCCUGUGGUUGAUAAUGGCUGGAAAUUGGUUGGUCUUGUUUCUGAUUAUGAUCUUUUGGCUCUGGACUCUGUAUCAGGUACAGGAGGAGCUGAUGCAAACAUGUUCCCCGAAGUGGACAGCAACUGGAAAACAUUCAAUGAGGUUCAAAAGUUGAUUAGUAAGACCAAGGGGAAAGUGGUUGGUGAUUUGAUGACACCUGCUCCACUAGUAGUUCGGGAGUCUACCAAUCUUGAGGAUGCAGCAAGACUUCUGCUCAAAACAAAAUAUCGUCGUCUUCCUGUUGUAGAUAGUGAUGGAAAGUUGGUGGGAAUAAUAACUAGGGGAAAUGUUGUGCGAGCUGCCCUUCGUAUAAAACGGAUCAUGGAAAUGGAAGGCCAACAGUGAUCAAUUGGAUUCAGCAGUAAACAUGCAUGGAUGCAGUUCAGUUCGAGAAACGUAGAAUCAUAUGUUCUCCUUUUCCCGUAGAGGAGAGGUGACAUACGGCAGUCAAAUUUACAUUAGUAGGAUUUGCCAACCGGUUGAAUCUAGGAUAUUUAUGUAAGUUUUUAGAAGAUGAAAACGAACAUUCUGCAAUGUGCAAGAUAUACAGAGUUUAGUUUGUAGAUAAUACAGUUCCAUGGCUCCAUGAGAAAUAUUUGCGAGUCAAAACUCCUCACAGGUAUGUGCCACAGAAGAACAUAUCAUUUGUAAUUGGAAGGAAUUUUAUUUGAGGUGCACAUUGAAAAGGAGGCUUCUUCGAGCGGAGGCUUAGUUUCCAUUCUCUGAUAUGUGAGUACGAGACAUUAUUAUGUUAUACAUCUACAUAAUUUAAUAGUUAGGUAGGAUGUUUACCGUUAUGAUGGUGUCUUUUCGUUACAUAAUUUAGCAGUGUUUUGGUUUGUAUUAUCUCUAUCUGACUGUAACUUUCUUAUACAAUUACUUGGGAUUAGUGUAAACAUUUGUUUUUACAAUAUCAGUAUACCUUUGAUAGCAGGUUAAUUGCUGCUUACAUCAAACCCCAUUAAUGUUUA